GUCUACGGCCACGCCACCCUGAACAAGCCCGACCCCGUCUGCUCUCGGAAGCUAAGCAGGGUCGGGCCUGGUUAGUACUUGGAUGGGAGACCACCUAGGAAGACCAGGUGCUGUAGGCU
rnacentral:rRNA from 1 species